UCGAAAGACAAAGCCAGGCCGAGAGCCGGAACAACACGGUGGUAUUCUGAUAGUGUGUUGGAUUCGGAUGCUCCUCUUCCCUGACCAGGCUGCCGACAGGAUUCAAGCAUGAUAUCCUCAGAGCUAUUUGCCUCUGCAAUGAGACUUGCAAAUUCAGCCCAUGUUUACCACUCUGUAACCAAUCACGUGCUGGACUACAAGACACUGAGGUUUCCGCGAGCCACUGACAGCCCGAGCUAUUUUUUUCCGGGGGGGGGGACCUUUUCUCUCCUGACUGCGGAUGCAGCUGAAGGAAAACGCAGCCGGCAUGCUAAAGAACUGCAGCUAUCUGCCAUGCACCUUGUGCUCUUUCCUCUUCAUGUCCCCGUUCUCCUGCACCGACCCCAUCAAGGACAACCUCUCCUGCAGGCAGAACCCCCAGAGCCUGGCCCGUGGGACCGAGGGCACCCAGACCCGGAUCGCCUGCCAACCAAAGCACGGACAGAUAUGUCGGCAUGGCAGACAGCUCCUAGUCCCCAGUCUCCAUUUUCAUCCUCACUGUCAUCUGCUCAUGUUAAGUCAUGCCCUAAGAUGCGCCAUCCCUUUAUCCAUUCGGGGAGAUGGUGGUGCACAUUGCCGACAUGCAGCGGGUC